AUACCUUUCUCGGCCUUUUGGCUAAGAUCAAGUGUAGUAUCUGUUUUUAUCAGUUUAAUAUCUGAUAUGUGGUCCAAUGGAUCACACGAUAUUAAAUUUAUUUCUUGAGGGGAAGAAUCCGUUACAAUAGCUUGCUAUUGGGUUUCUUGAGUGUUGCCAUUGCGUUGCACUAUUGCAUUGGCUGGCACACCCCAC
rfam:Cicer arietinum chromosome Ca6, whole genome shotgun sequence.